UUUCGGAGCCAGACCUUCGCUCCGGGUUCAUUGAAUCAAGGAGAGGAAAGUCCGGACACCAUCGGGCAGGAUUCCGUGUGAAAGCACGGGCGCGGCGCUGGAAGGCGACGCGACGGAAAGUGUCACAGAAAAUUAGACCGCCCGGCGGGCAACCGUCGGGUAAGGGUGAAAAGGUGGGGUAAGAGCCCACCGCGUCUUCGCGUAAGCGGGACGGCACGAAAAACCCAAUCCGGUGCAAGGCAACAUAGGCGGCUGGGCGGCCCGUCCGAUAGCCGCGGGUAUGCUGCAUCCGCUGGAGUGACUGCGCAAGCAGGAGCAAGAGCGGGCAACAUCGCCUCGUGCGGUGUUGAGAGAAAUGAAGGUCACCCCGAUUCGUCGGGGCACAAAAUCCGGCUUACGGUUCCGAAACUAG
rnacentral:RNase_P_RNA from 1 species